rnacentral:rRNA from 1 species
UGGGGAAUAUUGCACAAUGGGCGCAAGCCUGAUGCAGCCAUGCCGCGUGUAUGAAGAAGGCCUUCGGGUUGUAAAGUACUUUCAGUCGGGAGGAAGGUGGUAAGGUUAAUAACCUUGGCAAUUGACGUUACCGACAGAAGAAGCACCGGCUAACUCCGUGCCAGCAGCCGCGGUAAUACGGAGGGUGCAAGCGUUAAUCGGAAUUACUGGGCGUAAAGCGCACGCAGGCGGUUGAUUGAGUCAGAUGUGAAAUCCCCGGGCUUAACCCGGGAAUUGCAUCUGAUACUGGUCAGCUAGAGUCUUGUAGAGGGGGGUAGAAUUCCAUGUGUAGCGGUGAAAUGCGUAGAGAUGUGGAGGAAUACCGGUGGCGAAGGCGGCCCCCUGGACAAAGACUGACGCUCAGGUGCGAAAGAGUGGGGAGCAAACAGG